AAUGGUCCUCGGUAGUGGUUUCCGCACAAAUUAAUGUGCGUGAACUUCGAUCGAAGAUUCAUU
ncrna:unclassified sequences Actino-pnp RNA